rnacentral:lncRNA from 1 species
UAAAAUCUAUGACUUACCCAGAUAUGACUAAAAAUUAGAGAUCGGAAAUAAAGAAGAAAUUGAUAAUGAGCUGUCUAUAUAGGUUCCUUACUUCAUCAAUUUUGUUGCCCCCAGCUACAUAUCUCUCUGCGACUCUGCGUCCGCCAGUACAUAGAGUCAUCAUCUGCUUCCUGCCCCAGUGCCCCCUACUAUUAAUCAAUUGCUUAAUUCAGUUUCUGCAUCUUCCUGUCCUCAAGAACAACCAGUCAAGCUCCACAUCCCACUCAAUAAAACUAAACGGCAAUAAUGGAGAUCACCGGAAUCAGCGAGACCAUGGAUCGUGAGGUAUGUAACUUCCAUCUCUCUCUCUCUCUCUCUCUCUAGUCUUUACUCUAGGGAUCCGCCUCUAUUUUCAGAAAUCACAACCAAAUCAUACUAAACAAAUGACAUGAUUGUAUUGCUCAUGCGUAGCUUUUCUUUAGUUUUGUGUGUUUGGAUUGAGUAAUUAAGCGUAACCGAGAUUCUAUAUAUUCACCGACAUUACUCUAUGAAAUGAUUGUCAAACUCGAUUGAAACUGUUCCCAUAAACUCGUACAGUACAAAGUUAUUUUAGCAAGAUAUAUAAGGUGAAUGACCAUGCUCAAAGACUUCAUCUCAUUGAUCUAAUUUUCCUUUUUUUUUUUCCUUUUUUCCUUUUUUCCUUUUUCCUUUUCUCUGAAGAAUAUAUAUGAAUACAAUUGAUCUUCUAAUUGUAUUCUAAAUUGGAGUAGUAAUCAUCGAGCUUUAUUAUUCUGUCUUUAAUAAAUGUAUAUAUACCUGAUGGGAGACCGACCCGUUUUUUUUAUUUUUAUAAAAUAAAUGUAUAUACACUUGUACAAUAUUUGAUAGAUUAAAUCAAAGAAAAAGAAUAGAUAAUUAUAUAUUGUCUACGACUCAUCUCAACUUCUCAACCAUCAAACUAUGAACUAUCAGUUAUGAUCUAACAAACGUUUCGAAAAAAUCUUAGCCGUCUCUCUCUCUCAACGCCGAAAGAGAAUGCAAACUCGUCCAAGUGCUUCGUUCGACAACAUGUGAUGGUUGAGCCGGCCCUGUUGGCCUUUAUGACAUGUUUUUUCUUUAUCAUUCCACAUAUUGGUUUAAUACCUAAAAGAGAACAUAAUUUAGUGUCAUUCAUUAUUUUAUGAGUAAAUAAGGUUGUUCUUAUACGUCUUUAUUUUUUAUUUUUGAAUGCAAAGGAUGGAUCAUUAUACAGUCAAUUGCUUUACACAAAUUGAGCAUGCUAUUACAUACAAACAAACAUAUGAAAAUGCACUAGAUUGGUAUACAACUAAAUUUUUGCAGGUAAUAGAGGUGGAAAAGAUAUGAUUGUUUGGGUUAAUUUUCAGGACAGGCAAAUGAUGAAAUGAAAGUGACUGAAUUAGAAGAUAAAUUUAGCAUUGUGAUGAGCAAAAUUGAAAGUUCAAAUUUGAUCUGCUCAUCGUGAUGUAUUCUCAUGUGUAUGCGAAUGUUCAAACUAAUAAUAUGCAAUUGUUUCCAAAAACCAUCUCAAAUUGUCCCAAGAGUGAUAGAAUACACACAUUUUCUUAUGACCCGACUGUUGUGUUUUGAAUUGUUAAUCCGCCCGCAGCAAGGCGCGGGUCUAAUUUCUAGUAUACAAAUACUGAUCAAAGAAUUCACUAAACAAUUCACUUUGAACAGUAUAUAUAGUACUUAGGUUGACUACUACUAUAGAAUAAAAUAACCAGCAACAUAACAUAAUCAGAUCCAGAUUAAGUUUUAAGGUUUGUCGCAAGUGCAACCUCUGUAUCAUAUUUCAUCACAAACAGUAAAAAUUUCUGGUGAUUUCUGAAGGAUGCAAAUUUGCCAACCAGCGCUAUUGUGUUGGUCACGGUCACGGGACUAUCAAGUAAAAUGCUGCCACUUGACAAUUAAAAUCAUGAGUUAACUAUGGUUACCUUAAUUAAUAGAUUCUUAAUUAAUUAUCUGAAAACAAAAAAUCUCUUGUUAUAUAACGCCACAAGAAUACGA